ensembl:lncRNA novel transcript
CUCCCCGGAGUCCCACGCCCCCACCCCGGCCACGGAGAUCACCACGUCAGGAGAUAUGUAUGCGUGUGCAUGUGUGUGCGCGCGUGUUCACGCGCGUGUGCGAGGCUAACCUGGGCUUGUUCAUAUGGUGGUGGAAGAUUUCCCAGCAGCAAGAGUGUUGGCUCCAGUAUACAGACCUUGUCAAGUCUCUGCCUGCAUCAUUUGCAUCUUUGACCAAACCAGACUCGUUUAUUGUGAAAUAGAGAGUGUGAGAUACACUGGAUGCAGAGAAGGUCAAAACUGAAUUGGAAGAUUUUAUCCAGUUCUGGCUUCUACAAGUGAGGGGGAGUAAAGACAACCCGUGGAAGGUGUGGCCUCUUUGAGAGUUCCCUUUGAUCAUCGUUGAACAAGAAAAUAUUUGGGUCUGGUUUACCAAAGGACCUACAAGAUUUUCUGGCACCACCAUUCCCUGGAGGGGUCAGCCAGCUACAUGUUGGCAGGAUGAUGGCACUGGACUAUUUCCAUCGUGGAAGGGGCAGCAUUUUGUCCUCACUGGAACAGACACUUGGUUAGAAUAUGAAUAUGCUUUCACUGUACAUAUUUGUUCUGCUAAAACCACCAACUGUAUAUGCCUUAUUCACUGUUAUGAUAUUCCACGUAGCAUUACUUCUGACCAAGGAACUCAUCUCACAGCUAAUGAAGUGUGGAUAAGGAAGGGACUUUUGAAGAUUUUGUUAUGUUCCCAAGUGGGGGACAUCAUCUUAUAGGGCUGGUGUAGUGUCCUAUGGAUGUAGUACAUAUCCCAAAUCAGCAACCAAAGUAUAGUGCUGUUUCUCCCAUAACAUGAUCAAGGAAUGGGAAUGAGAUCAGCUGCUCUUAGUUUACCCUUUGUGAUCCACUAACAGUAUUUUUGCUUCUAGUCCUGGUGACUUUGGGCUCUGCUGCUUUAGGGCAUUUUACUUUUCCAGAAGAAUAAUGCUUCUGCCAGGAAACACAGUAACACUCCUGUUAAAUUGGAAGUCGAGACUGCUCCCUGAGAACUGUGAUGCCAGUAAAUCAGCAUGCAAAUAAGUGGCUACUGGAUUGGCUGAAGUGUUUGAUGCUGACUAUCAAGGGGGGAAACUGGGUUUCCAGCAUAGAGUGGGCACGGGAGUAGGUGCUUUCUGGAAUACCCUGGUCACCUUGGGUACUGCUUUUUAUUCCCUUAUCCUGUGGCAAAAGUUAAUAUAAAACCAUGGUAGCCCAAUAAAGACAGGACUUCUCAUGGCUGACACUUUAGGAAUGGAGUUUUAAUCACUCCACCAGGCAUGGGAUCACAGCAAGGUGAGGUGCUUGCUGAGGGCAAGGGAAAUAUGAAGUGGGCAGUGCAAGAAGGAAGUCAUCAAUACAAGCUAUGACCAUAUGGCCAAUAGCAGAAAUGAGGACUUAAUAUUUAUGAGUAUUUCUUUCUUAAUUUUAUUUACAGGCAUGCUUCACUUAACGAGAGGGAUAUAGUCUAAGAAUUGUAUCAUUAGGCAAUUUUGUCAUCAUACUUACAUCUUGGAGUGUACUUACACAAACCUAGAUGGUAUAGCCUACUACACAUCUAGGCUGUAUGGCAGAACCCAUUUCUCCUAGGCUGUAAACCUGCACAGCAUGUUACCAUACUGAGUACUGUAGGCAAUUGAAGCACAAUGGUGAGGAUUUGUG